CAGGCAGUAAUUUGCUCCUUGGAGCCACAGAAAAGUUGGGAGAAAACAGCUGCGAGAUGGACUCUCCUCCAUUCUCUUCCCCAUGUCCUCCCCAGUGGAUGAAUUCCGCUCACUUUCUGAGUUAUUGUUUUUUAAUUAGAUGAUUGGAAAAAGAAGGAAGUCAUGGUGGCUCCUGGCUGGCAUCCAGCGUAGCUUGGCUAGGUGAAAGCAAAGCUGUGCUCAGUUCGUGGCGGCCUCUGGAUCUGCAUGCUCUUGUACGCACCUUUGUCACUACCUUGAGAAAGUGCCUUUUAGAGGAGGAGAGGGCACGCUAGCAGUGCUGAGUCAGCAGAGUUGUUGCAGCCCAUGCUUUAUACACAGCUGUAUCAGCAAAGCCCACCCGGCUGGGCUUGCAGCUGGCUAUGGAAGGAUGAAUGAGCAGGAGUGAACCUGGCUUCUGGAAUCGUCAGCAGCAUCUUGAACUAAAUAAAUGCCAAGCAUUGAAAGCCA